CCUACGGGAGGCAGCAGUAGGGAAUAUUGCUCAAUGGGGGAAACCCUGAAGCAGCAACGCCGCGUGGAGGAUGAAGGUUUUAGGAGUGUAAACUCCUUUUGAGAGAGAAGAGAAUGACGGUAUCUCACGAAUAAGAACCGGCUAACUCCGUGCCAGCAGCCGCGGUAAGACGGAGGGUGCAAGCGUUACUCGGAACGACUGGGCGUAAAGAGUGCGAAGGCGGGCUUGUAAGUCAGAUGUUAAAUCCUGUAUCUUAACUACAGAACUGCAUUUGAAACUCUGAGUCUAGAGUGUGGGAGAGGUAGGUGGAAUUCUUGGUGUAGUGGUCAAAUCCUUAGAUAUCAAGAGGAAUACUCAUUGCGAAGGCGACCUACUGGAACAUUACUGACGCUCAUGCACG
rnacentral:rRNA from 1 species